rfam:Myotis davidii contig157161, whole genome shotgun sequence.
GGUGGUUCUCGGGUGACACCCCAAAAUUAGGCUCACUCCUCUCUGGUUCCAGGUGCAUCACCCGAGAACUCGCC